CAGUAGCCACGGUAAUACGUAGGUGGCAAGCGUUGUCCGGAAUUAUUGGGCGUAAAGGGCUCGCAGGCGGUUUCUUAAGUCUGAUGUGAAAGCCCCCGGCUCAACCGGGGAGGGUCAUUGGAAACUGGGAAACUUGAGUGCAGAAGAGGAGAGUGGAAUUCCACGUGUAGCGGUGAAAUGCCUAGAGAUGUGGAGGAACACCAGUGGCGAAGGCGACUCUCUGGUCUGUAACUGACGCUGAGGAGCGAAAGCGUGGGGAGCGAACAGGAUUAGAUACCCCGGUAGUCCCUGUCUCUUAUAA
rnacentral:rRNA from 1 species